UUCUGGCUCAGAUGAACGCUGGCGGCAGGCCUAACACAUGCAAGUCGAACGGUAACAGGAAGAAGCUUGCUCUUGCUGACGAGUGGCGGACGGGUGAGUAAUGUCUGGGAAACUGCCUGAUGGAGGGGGAUAACUACUGGAAACGGUAGCUAAUACCGCAUAACGUCGCAAGACCAAAGAGGGGGACCUUCGGGCCUCUUGCCAUCGGAUGUGCCCAGAUGGGAUUAGCUUGUUGGUGGGGUAACGGCUCACCAAGGCGACGAUCCCUAGCUGGUCUGAGAGGAUGACCAGCCACACUGGAACUGAGACACGGUCCAGACUCCUACGGGAGGCAGCAGUGGGGAAUAUUGCACAAUGGGCGCAAGCCUGAUGCAGCCAUGCCGCGUGUAUGAAGAAGGCCUUCGGGUUGUAAAGUACUUUCAGCGGGGAGGAAGGGAGUAAAGUUAAUACCUUUGCUCAUUGACGUUACCCGCAGAAGAAGCACCGGCUAACUCCGUGCCAGCAGCAGC
rnacentral:rRNA from 1 species